UAUACAUACUUAGUUUGACACUUAUAAUUUAUUUUGUACAAAUUAAUUUUAUAUUCACUUUUAACAUUAAUGUUAAUUAGAUGUGUAUUUAUGUGUAUGCAUUGUAAUAUAUUUAUGGUGGAACACUGUGAAAUCGAUUUUGUGCCUUAAUAUUUGAUAUUCGCUUAUUGCACGUGGUUCUCUAGCACCCUACGACUCAACACACCUCAUAUCUGUAUAAUAGGGGAGACGUCAGGCAAUCUUGAAAGCCAGUUUAGUGCCUUAAUAUUGUUCUUCUGAAGACGUCCAGUCAUUAGUCUGGCUGAAUCCCGGAGUCCUGUUGAAACAAAACACCUGGAUGCUGCUGCAUGAACGGAAUCACAACUGGUAUGAUGAUUUCGUCACUGUAAUGGUUCGGUUACGCACACUGUUUGUACCUCUUACGGUAACGUCAAAAAGGUCAACAUGACGCCAUCUGUUUAUAACGUUGUUAAAACCUGUACAUUCUAUAUUAAACUAUUCACUUUAAUUUGUCAAUAAACGCACCUUCAAUUGUA